rnacentral:rRNA from 1 species
ACUGCUCAGUAACACGUGGACAACCUGCCCUUAGGUUGGGUAUAAACCCGGGAAACUGGGUAUAAUACCCGAUAGGUCUCGAUUGCUGGAAUGCAUCGAGAUUUAAAGCUCCGGCGCCUAAGGAUGGGUCUGCGGCCUAUCAGGUAGUAGUGGGUGUAGCGUACCUACUAGCCUACGACGGGUACGGGUUGUGAGAGCAAGAGCCCGGAGAUGGAUUCUGAGACACGAAUCCAGGCCCUACGGGGUGCAGCAGGCGCGAAAACUUUACAAUGCUGGCAACAGCGAUAAGGGAACCUCGAGUGCCAGGUUACAAAUCUGGCUGUCGAGAUGCCUAAAAAGCAUUUCAUAGCAAGGGCCGGGCAAGACCGGUGCCAGCCGCCGCGGUAACACCGGCGGCUCGAGUGGUAACCGUUAUUAUUGGGUCUAAAGGGUCUGUAGCCGGCCGGAUAAGUCUCUUGAGAAAUCUGGCAGCUUAACUGUCAGGCUUUCAGGAGAUACUGUCUGGCUCGAGGCCGGGAGAGGUGAGAGGUACUUCAGGGGUAGGGGUGAAAUCUUGUAAUCCUUGAAGGACCACCAGUGGCGAAGGCGUCUCACCAGAACGGACCUGACGGCAAAGGACGAAAGCUAGGGGCACGAACCGGAUUAGAUACCCGGGUAGUCCUAGCCGUAAACGAUACUCGCUAGGUGUCGGCCACGGUGCGACCGUUGUCGGUGCCGUAGGGAAGCCGUGAAGCGAGCCACCUGGGAAGUACGGCCGCAAGGCUGAAACUUAAAGGAAUUGGCGGGGGAGCACCACAACGGGUGGAGCUUGCGGUUUAAUUGGAUUCAACGCCGGAAAUCUUACCGGGACCGACAGCAAUAUGAAGGCCAGGCUGAAGACUUUGCCGGAUUAGCUGAGAGGUGGUGCAUGGCCGUCGUCAGUUCGUACUGUGAAGCAUCCUGUUAAGUCAGGCAACGAGCGAGACCCCUACC